CCUGUAACGGUACUUCUUGCUCAGUGACAGCAGCAACCCACCUCCUUAUCCCUUUCAUUGGCUUAUAAACCCGUCCUUUAAACCACUAUUUGGGAGGUCGGGCCAUCAGUUUCGGCGUUUUUUCCAGAGAGGCAGGCUCACAGCGAUAUCGCGAGAGACGAGUUUCACUCUCGUUGCCCAGGCUGGAGUGCAAUGGCAUGAUCUUGGCUCACUGCAACAUCUGCCUCCUGGGUUCCAGUGAUUCCCCUGCCUCAGCCUCCUGAGCACCAACAGGUUGUAAAAACCCCAUCAGGGCAGUGACUGAGUGUGUGUCACUGUGUGCAGCAUCCCCAGAACCUAAUACCAUGACUGCAUGGAACAAGCACCCGGAUAUAGGAAUGAAGGACGCUACUGGUGGCCCCGUCCAGUUCUGAGAAAAUGCUGCCACAAGCUACAAGAGAAAUCUGCUUCUCUGAAGCCUUUAAAGAUUUGGUUACUUUUUCAAAAUGAAUAUUCUUUAAUACACAAUUUCAAUAAUUUCUGAAAUGAGGAUAAUGGCUGGGUUUUUUUUUUUUUUUUUUUUUUUGAGAUGGAGUCUCGCUGUCACCCAGGCUGGAGUGCAGUGGUGCAAUCUCAGCUCACUGCAACCUCUGCCCCCCGGGUUCAAGCAAUUCUCGUGCCUCAGCCUCCUGAGUAGCUGGGAUUACAGGUGCCCGCCACCACGACUGGCUAAUUUUUUUAUUUUUAGUAGAGACGGAGUUUCACCAUCCAUGUUGGCCAGGGAGGUCUUGAACUCCUGACCUCAAGUGAUCCGCCUAUGGCUGGCUUUUUAUAAUAGUUAAGAAUACUGCUCCUGGAGUCAGAGGGUCUGGUUCUCAUCCUCUGAUUUUGAUCACAACUUGCUGCAUGAUGAUGAUCAAGUGUUUGAACUUCCCAGUGCAUCCAUUUCCUCCUGGGUAAAGUGGGGCUAAUACCGUUAAAGCAAUGAUGUAAAAAUUAAAUGAGCUAACACAAGUGAGCGUUCAGAAUUGCAUCUAGUGCAUGGGAAUCCCUCAUAAGUAUUAGCUAUUAUUAUCAGUGUGCUAUCAGCUUGGAACUCAUGUAGUUCUGCUACAGAUUUGUAUUGUUCCUGAAAACAGAAUAUGAGACCAAAUUGAGGCCAGGUGUAAAGGCAUCUGGACCUUAUAUCCCUGCUGUCUAGUUUCUUCAAGAGGCCAGAGAGAACCUCCCUCAACUCCAGCCUACCAAGUGUCAUUUAUUUUAAUGCAGUGUGCCCCCAGUCUUAGGAAAUGGAAUUCUUCAUCUUCCAAGGCCUCUGGCUGAGACUGGAGACUUGUGCCUGCUCCACUGCUUGGCUGGAUUAGAUGCCCUAGAAAGAUACUUUUAACUCAGAGAAACUGUGACUCCAUGAAAGGGUCAGAUCCCACCAAAAGUCAUCCCAGUUCUCCAUCAGUUUCUCUCUCCACUCCACCUCCCCCAGCCCAUCCUCCGUCUGGGCUCCAGGGCUCUUUCCUUCUGUGUUCCCACAGGAUGGUGCCUGCUUUUACCCACCCUCUAGACUUUGCCCCAGUCACCUCAAACAGCCGAGGGUCCAAAUUUAGUAAUAGAAAUUCACUUCUCUAACCACUUUACAAAAACAUUAACUCAUAACUCACGGAAACCCAAUGAAGUCGGUGCUGGUGGCACCUCCAUUUUACAGAUGAUGAAACCGAGGAGAGGAGGGAGGUUGAAUAACUUGGCCCAAGGUCACUUGCUGAAAAGUGGCAGAGCUAGGAUUCACUGCCUCUGGUUCACUGCCUUGAAAGGAAGGAAAGUCUCCCCACUCCCACCACUGGGGAACUCUUCUUUAACUUUCUCCACAGUAUCAUUGGUCCGAUAAAUGAGAGGCAAGGAGAGAAACAAAGAUGGAUGUAUGUAUAAACUUAGGCAAGCAUGGAGAGCCAUGGUGAUGUGGUUAAGUGUUAGUUCUUGAGCUGAAUUGCACUGGUUAGUGUCCUGGAUUUUGAAUGUACUAACCCUGGAAAAUAAAAUUAGAAUAAUAAUAAGUGUACAUACAUACCUUACAAAGUCAUUUUGGACAUGAAGUUAAUAAAUAUUAAGCCCCUUAGAACAAUGUCUGGCAUAUAGUAAGUGCUCAAUACUUGUUAUCUGCCUUUUUUUUUUCUUUUUACGUUCUCAAAAGGCAGAAGCAGCAAUGCCUUUGUAUAAAGAAUGGUAGACUUGGAAUCAGAAGAUUGAGUCUGAGUACCACUUAGCUUUUGCUUCCUGUAUGAUCACCAGUGAAGCAUUUUUCCUCUGUGAGGCCUUGCUGUUUUCAUCCCUAAAAUUGGGAUGAUGAUACUUUUACACACUGAGAUGGUGGCCUAUGAAAGAGCUUUGUAAAUUUGCAAGCUGUGGCCAAAUAAUUAUCCCAUUUUGUGAUUUAGGACUUCUCCUAGAGUAGACAGAAAGUUGCCUUUCAGAAGGUCUUCAGACUCGCUUCUUGGCCUUUUGGCUAAGUUCAAGUGCAGAAAGUCUUCAGACUGAAAAUACCUUCAUCUUUUAGAAUUCCACCACUGGAGAGUCAUUGUCCGAGUCUUCCAGACUUACUAAGAUAAAUGGCAGGAAGUAGAGAGCCCAGUGUGUUUGCGGGGAGAGAAGAGAAGUCUCAGGAAUAUGACUGCCGUCUUCAAGGAGUUGAAAGGCUGUCACAGGGUGGCCUGGUCAGACUUCUGAGUGACCAACAGGUAAGAACUGGGUCUCUAAGUGGAAGUGUCAGGGCUGAUUUAGUGUGAAAAAAGAAGAGCAUUCUUUUGAUUAUAGCUCUCGGAAAGUGGAAAGGGCUACCUGAUAGUGAGUGCCUGCCAUUGGAGGCAUUCAAACAGAGAUUUGAGACCACUCCAUGGGAAUGUGGUAGAGGAAAUGUAACGAGUCAGGUGGUGAUGAAACUAGUUGACCUGGGCCUGGGAAGAUCUAAUUCAUCCUAGAAUGGCAGCACGCUGUGAGGGAGGGGAGCGCCUCUGAGGGAGCGGAGAGCUGGUUAUGCAGGGACGCAGGAGGAAAGUAUAGGGGGAGGCCUGCUGGGAACACAGGCCCAGCUCAGCAGAAUUCACUCUUUUCCCAGAGUAGCUCCUGUCUCUUCGGCCACUUUAGGCCCUAAAGCCUAGAACUGUACAUGAUACACUCAUUCAUUCAGUUAAUUCAGCAAAUAUUUACAGGCCUGAGAGUCAAUUCCCACAGCGGACACAGUGUGGGAUUGCCUGCCCUGGCAAGCCUCCUGCCUGGUGACCAGCAGAGGGCAGGAGAGACGUGCAGAUGCCAAACCCUGCACAGCCCACUAGCCAAGUGAGCUUCCCUGCCGGGGAAACUGGGUCACUCAGUCCUGCCAAGCUGCAAACAUUCCGAGGGUUGUGAGCAUGUUGGGCCUCUCCGGCAAGGGCCUCUCCAGCAAGGACCUCUCCAGCAAGGGCUAUGAGGCCCUAGAUGUCACCUGGCAAGGCUGAGACCUCAGACCUCUGGACUGGCAAAGUCGCUCCCUCCUGCAUGGGGAAGGAAGGAAGGAUGAGGCUGAUAACAUGCGAUGGCUCAGGGAGAAGGCUGAAGGGAUCUCUUCCCAGCAAAGUGUUUCAAGUAACAGGGACAGCCCAGUCUACAUGUCACAGAGGAGCCAUGGGAGGCCAGGCCUGCCACGGUGGAUGGGUGGGGCCGUUUGCUUCAGAGAAUGCCUGGACUUCACUAAAGGAGUUUGAGGCUCUCCUUAGGCUGGGCUGAAACCCCCAUUUGGAAGUGCAUAAAAGGCUAACUCUCUGGAUAUGAAUGGGUGAAUGCCAAAUCUGAUACCUGAGUGGUUAGGAGGCAGGUUUGGAGUCAGAUUUGCCUUUGUGUCCUGGUUUUCCAUCUAUAUGUCAUGGGACCUUGGGUAAGUCAUUUUCAGACUUGAUUUCCUUUUCUAUAAACUGGUGGUGCUACUGUGAGUAUUAAGUGGAAUAAUGAAGCAAGUGUGCAGAUUGCGAUUCUUUCUCCUUCCCAGCUCUCUCUCAUCCUGGUCGGGGGACUGUGUGCUUGGGAUAACAGUUGAAGCAGAUGUUUUUUUGAGAAUGGAAGCGAAGAGUGGAUGCCCACCAUGCUGUCAGUCUGGGCAGGGUGAACUCAACCUGAAGGAAUGCUGUUCUGGGUAAAGCACGUGGAGCCACCUCUCCCCAGGCUUCUCUGGCCCCCAUAGAGUCCUGCUGCAGAAAGAUGCGCAGUGUAUGAAGGCUCGCGUGGCCUCUUGAAGUCUGAGGGUUAAGAAAUCAGGGAGGUGAAAUAGGCCUGGAAUGGGAGGAAACUGGAGGAUGGAAUGGGAAGGAGCCAUUCCCCAAAUUCCCAUUCCAUUUAUGGACUCUGACGGUUAGAAGGGCCACUUGAACCUGCAAGCAAGGACCAGUUUAUGCACUCUUCAAAAUGUGUUUUCUCAACUAAUCUAAGACAUUGAAGCAAGGACUUUGUUGCCCAUUCCUCUCCAGGAGGGAUGGUGGGUGCUGAUGCUGCUAUGUAAAGGCUCUCAGCACCGUGCUCAAUACUUGUUUGCUAUUGAUGAGGAAGGAAUCUUGGACAAGUAAUUUGAGUUCCCAGUUUUACUGAUUAAAAAAUAAAUAGAACUGAGGCUCAGAGAACUGUGGAACCAGGAGAGGUAAAGUUCCUCUCAUUUGCAAUUGCUGCUAGAAUCCUCAUCUGUGACCAUCUGGAGAAAGUGGCUCGAUCCCUAUGGUGAGCUGCUCAAAUCUUGGAGUCUCUCUGCCUCCUUGGGGAUUUCUCUUUGGAUACAUCCUCUCUACUAAACUCUAGCCACUGCUUGUGUUACCCAACCCCAGAUGGGAGACAGACUGAGUUUUCCUCAUUCCAGCCUAUCCUUUAGGGCUCCAAGGAGCAGCAAGUGCUUCUCAGGUUGAGGGGUAAUUCACCAGGUGUGUAGUGCUGGCAGCACAAUGUGAUAGAGCCAGUCACCUGCAUUGCAAUUCCAGCACCACCAUGUACUGGCUGUGGGACCUUAGGCAAGAUACUUGAUAUCUACAAGUCUCAGUGUCCCCAUCUAUAAAAUAGGGACACUAAUAGUAUUUACCUUAUAGCUCCUGUUCUUUCCAGUCCCUCUUAAUCUGAAAUUGGAAGGAUGAAUAAAUUAAACAGCCAUCUUCUUCCCUGGGAAAGCCAAAGAGCAACUCAAAAGGAAAGAAUCGGAAGCUGGGCUUUGGAGUCUUCUUGUCCAGGCACUAGGAGCUGUUGGGUGGUGUAAAUAGCCCUGGGCUGGGAGAGAGGACCAUGGCCUAGCACAUCUCUGCUAUCAGAUUGCUACCUUAUCCACAUUGCCAAGCCUCUUUGGGCCUUAGUAUCCUCCUCUGGACAAUGACAAGGUUGAGCUUGCUGACCAUGGAGGUCCCUGUAGCCCUGCCCCUACUGAGAUUCUCAGCCGCAGAGCUGGGCCCUCGUUCUUUGGGAUUCAGCCCAGGCGUCACACAGUCACAGUGGCUGAAGAGGCAGCACUUUGCUGAGCUCUGGCCUACUUCCCAGAGAAGGUCACUCGGCCCCAGGGAAGCCCCUGGUUUGCUGGUUUGGAUGCUGUGGAGGGCCAGGCAACAGGGACCUUAGCCUAUUGGCAUCUGGUUCCAGCCAAAGCUUUUCAGGGACGUGUGAGGGUAAGCAGCAGGGCUGGCAGAAGCAGUGAAAACCAGCCCGGAGCUUACGUUCUGUGGCCUUGCUUUGAAAUCUACAACCUCAGCCACCUGGGAAAUGAUGAAGCUCUGAAAAGAAACACUGGUCAGGGGCCCAGGGGAAGUUUCCUCCUGAAAGGCCUGUGUGAGGAUGGAUUCCAUGUGAGGGGGAAAGUAUUGAUAGAAGGAGGCUCUGCAAAGGAAAGCAAGCAGGGAAGGAGCAGGUCAUUAAAGGAUUCAGAUGGGCUGGCUUGGAGGACUUUCUGAACUGUGAGAACUAGAUGUGGUGUGGACUAUAAACAUGUGGGGGUAGGAAGUUGGAGAAGAAAGAACUCAGUGCCAGAGGGCUGCAAGAUCUUCCAGGAGGUGCCUUAGAGCUGGCUGCUCUCGGCUCUCAGGCAGGGGAUUGGUUGGAUUUCCUUCCUCAGGCAGUGAACUCUCCUAGAUACCGGACUCAUUCAUUUGACAGCUAAUGCCUGGUUAUAACUGACUCUGUAAAGUGUACUCCCAUGUGUUGACUCAUUGGAUCUAAUGACCACUGUCUGGAGUCAGUGGAGACUGGUAUGAUUAUGAUCAUCCGUGUUUAGAGACAGAAAAGCAAGGGCCACUCAGAAGUGCCUCAUGCAGGGUCACCCAGCUUCCAAGGCUUGGGGUUGAGAUUUGAACCCAUGUCUAUCUAUCUUCGAAUCCUGUGUUUAUUACAUCAAGAUGCCAACUCCCAGUGUCCUCCUAUUACCUUGUAGCAAGGGUAGACAACAUCCUCCUACCUUUAUCACAUGCAGACUGGCCAGAUUUUGGUGGAAAUGUAGACAUUUUCAGGGAAAACCAGAUGCUCUGGUUGCCUAUCCCCACUGUGAGCAGGAAAAUAGCUCAGUAUUCACAGGGUCACCAGGAGAAUGCCUAGCAUUAACUUAAAGUAGUCCUCUAGGCUCUCUCCUUCCACAGGCCCACAUCUUGGGGCCUGAUGUACUCUGAGGUCCACCUGGAUCUUGAUGCCUCCACUUCCGCUUGGUGACUCCACUCCAGGACUUUUUGGUGACUCAUGCAGAGGGAAAAUACAUGGCCUUACAGAGCCAGGCAGAGCCACUGGAGUCCUGAUGAAGGCUCUCUUAACCAGAUGACCUUGAGCAAAUUGCUGAGCCCUCCAGGCCUGGGUUCCCUCAUUUGUUAAAAUGAUGACAACCAACUACACCAAACAAAACUUACAGCUUUGUUAUGAGAAUUGAAUGAAUUAACCCAUGUGAAGCCACCUCAUUCUAAGGAGAUAUUCAAUAAAUGCCCUUUUUCACCGCAUAGGAGUGGGAAACUUUGUGGCAAGAAGAAAGGUUAUGGGAAUGAUAAUCACUGAGCACUUAAAACAUACCCAUUAUUAUGCUCAAUUCUUUACUCAAAAUGUGCUAUCUCAAUUAAUCCUCCCAGCACUCCUAUGACGCAGGUAGUAUGCAUCCUCCAAUUUGCAGAUUAAAAAACUGAUACCUCAAGAUGUUAGAUUCCUUGUCCAAGGCCAACGUGAUCAGGAAUCUGAUGCGGAGCUCAAGUACUGAACAUCUAAGAUGCCCUGCAACAAAUCCUGCUCUCCUGUCGUGAUUGGAGCAUCCCUGCCUGAAAUGCACUCUCAUUCCAUGUUUAGAUUUUUGAUUCAAAGAAGCAAGAGCCUCCUGUAGGGAGAUUCCCAUCUCUCAUGCUAGGCCACUCCCUCUCCUAAGCGCUCAGAAACUGUGCUUAUGUUUAACCCUUAGGCUUUCCAUGUAGUGUUAUACAUACGUAUGCAUGUCUCCUACCCUAGGCGAUGCUCUUUGAGGGCAUAGACAGAAUCUUAUUUUCUUUCUGUUUCCUCCCCACAUAACUAUUACCCACAGCACUUUGUAUGCAGUAGACUUUUCAUAAAUAUCUGCUGACUUGGAGUGUGUGUGAGGCAGGGUGAACAGGGAGCAUGAGAGAGCUGGAUUGGAAUUCCUCCUCCCACGGACUGUGGCUCUGGGCAAAUUACUCAACCUCUGUGGUUCUCCCUCAGUUUCCUCACUCUAAAAGGGGGUGAUAGCAUUUGCUGUCAAGGGGUUAUUAUGAGGAAAUGAAGUGAAAAAAUGCAGGCAAAGCAUUUACAUAGUGCCUGGCACAUAUUCCACACUCCAUCAGUGAUAUGUAUUCUAGUAGCUGCAGGGUGGUGCCUGGACAAGGUGGAUGGUCAUAAUGAGGAAGGAAAGAGCCCCAGGAGGCAUGAGAAACAAGGGCCUACUAAAGACCACACUUCCAAGGGGAUGGAACAGAGAUAGAUAAAAAGGAAGGAGAUAUUUUAAGGAAAGCUCAGUAAAAUGGAGAGGAGCCAACAAAAUGAAUGUGAGGCUGCUGGGAUAAGGGGGAAAGGAACUGAUUAGAAGCAAGAGAAGCCUGGAGCCAUGCCCCAGAGACUCUAUCCAGGAUGAAAGGAGGGGCCUGGAGAAGAGGUAGAUGUGCCCAGCCAAAAAGAGAAAAGGGCCAGGAGUGGGGAGGGGGUGACUGGGAAGAUGACAUUACAAACUAAGGUGGCUGUGGAAGGAGCAGUAUCUGCCUGGAUCCAAAAAGAGGAUCUGAAAGCCAAAAAGGAUGAAUAAUCCAGGCAUCGGGCUCAAGGCAGGAGGCAGCUGUUCAUUUGUGGCUUGAUGAGCACUUGACUAAGGUAGUUUAAGAAACUACUUCUAACGCAGUUUAGACUCGCUGGAGCAUGUGCCUCACCGAAGACCCCACCCAGCAGGCAUCACAGAGUAGUGGAAGCGGAAGGACCCCCAGACCCAUGGACACAGUCUGAGGAGACUACCGCCCCUUUCAUCCCUAGGGUGGGACAGCGGGAAAUUGCCAGAGACAGUCCGAGGAAGGCCUUCUGUCCUGUGCCUCUUUGGUAAAUCAAGCAGCGUCUUUCUGUGCAUCAAAUCUAGUCUCUGAAACUUGAAUCCAAAUUUGCUGACACAGGGGCUUCUAUCUGCAAGAGGUAUGCAGGGAUGGCCAAGGUCAGGGGCUCCUUUGACCACUUAGAAUCAGAUCUGGUCUCAGCUGGAGUCCUUGGUCCCUCCUCUGACCAUCACUUGGCCCCAUUCUCCACAGCGAGAGGAAGAAGCUUGCCAAGUGGCAAGAGUCAAGUCAUCGGCCUGCAGGGAAAGAAAUGUUCUUUCUGGCCUCAGGAUCUGAGCAAGAUUGUCCAAAGCAAUUUGCAGACUAACUUGAAAGGCGACAUGGACAGGAAGGUGUCUGGGGAAGCAGAAGGCCCCUCAUCCACAGAUCCUUGAGGCAGACAUGCCCUGCCUGUUAACUAGAAAUAGUACCAGGCCAGGAGCCCAGAGGAGCACCCCCAACCAGAUGUGAUGACAGCCUGUGCACAUAUAUGUAUACAUGUGAGUGCGCCUUGUCUCCUGGCUCCUUUCACUCCAGGGCAGGUACGGGUUGGUAGCAUGGGCUUGUGCUCUACUCAGUUAUUCAGGGACCUGGGUGGCCAUGGUUUUGCCGUCUCCAACCAAGGCUGCCCUGGGAUUUGGUGUCCAGUGGAUGCAGAAAGAAAGAACAUUGAGACCACACUGGGAUGUUUUUACAGUCAGGUCUGAAAGUGGCACACAUCACCUCACACUCCACUGACCAAAACUCAUUCCCAAGAACACAGCUAACCUGCAAGGCAGCCUGGGAAAUGAAGCCUAGCCAUAUGCCAGAGAAGGUGAGAUGGAUUUGGUGAUCAAUCAGCAAUCUCUGUCACAUGCCUAAAAGCACAGAGGACAUUUUGCGAUAGAGGAUUGGGAAGAAGCACCUGAGAACGGAACAGAUGGAAAAGACACGGGGAGCUUGGACAACAUCCCAAUGCUACCAUGGGGUAGCAUUAGUAGGCACCCAUCUCCUCACCUUAGGAGCAUGGUGUCCUGCAGGGAAGACAUGCUAGGAGUAUUUGACUUGGAGGCUCAAAGAACUGGGAAGCUCUUGGCCAAGGGGAAGGGUGUUCUCAAGGUCUAGAGGACCCUCUGAAGAGAGGCCUGGUAACCUAGGGCCAGCUCUGGGCUCAGAUGAGGCAGGUUCAGGCAACCUUAGGUCCAGCCCAAGUCACCAGGGGAGAAAAAAGGCAGAGGCCCAGAACUUACACUCCACACUGCAAUGCUCCCUGUGCAAUUCUCCUGUGCUCCACUUUUGUGGAAGGGGGCCAGGAAGCCAAGGUCUAGGAGGAGGAGCUAACCGAGAGGUCAGCAGGCAAGGAAUAUCACUGCCUGCAAAGGUCUGGCCACAAUGGAGCAGGGAACCCCAGGCAUGUGAGGAGGAGGAGCGCAGAGAAAGAAAGGAGGAAGGGCUAUACAUGAGAAAAGGGAAAUGGAGACAGAAAAGCCUAUUUUGUACAUGGUGUAAGAGGUGAGUCUUGAUUUUAGUGUUGAUCUUACUUUGGAGUGCCACAGACCUAUCCAGCAGAACCUUCUGCAGUGAUGGAAAUGUUCUCCACCUGUGCUAUCCAAUAAGGUAACCACUAGCCACAUGUGGCGACUGAGCACUUGAAGUGUGGCUAGUGUGACUUAGGAACUGAAUUUGUAAUUGCAUUCAAUUUUAACUAACUUAAAUCCAAUCAGACACAUGUGGCUAGUGGCUACUGUACUAGACAGCACAGGCAUAGUUUCAGACCAGGAGAAGUAAAGUAGCUGAUAGUCAUUUCAGCCGAAUGUCCUCAUUCUCUCUGCCUGUUACCACUCCUGGGCCCUCAGCUUCAUCCCAGCUUUGCCCUGUGGAUGAACCCUGGUGGAUGGCAAUGUAGUUCUACCCUUGGGCUUGGGCAGAUUUUGGACUCUGAUAUUCUCAUUUAUUCCUGUGGGUCUCUGAGACUGAGCAGCACAGUGUAGGGAAGAGAGAUUGGGCAGAGUGCUAGGCAGCCAGGAAGCAUUACUGAAUCUUCAUGGUCCUAGUUCUGCAGCUUCAAAAGGGGCUUGAGCCUUGUGUUCUCUGCCCUUGGUUUCCAGUCAUAGGGCUUUGGUCACCACCCCAUUAUCAGUAGGAGGACCUGAGGCACUGAGGCCUGAUGUGGUAGCAUUCUGCAAGAUGCUUGGGGAAAAGUGUCAUAACACAAGGAUGAGAAAUGUAAUUUCAUCUGCCACUCACCUACUACAUGCCCAGACUGUCUAAUGCCACUCACUUGCUCCGUACCCAGACUACCUACACUAUAAAUGCUUUAAUAUCCAGUGUCCUGGAGACCCUGCUUCAUUUUGAAUCUAACAUGUCGUCUCUGACAUGUUAACAUGUGGUUCCCACAUCAGCUGAAUCAGCUCUGCUUCGAAGCCUAUUGUCAUCAUCUCACAUCCUCUUGUCACUUCAGAAUAUUGAAGGAGAACAUUAUCAACAGACGUGACUGUCCAUUUCUGGUCCCUGAGAGAACUUUAGGCACAGGGCUGCCUUGCCAGUGCUUCAAAGCCAACAUCUGAGUCCCUGGAGCUUGCUCUACCCUUGAGACUUACCCCUGCCCACCUCUUGGCCCAGGCACCAAGCUAGAGGGGCAGAACCUACACUGAAUCCUUCCCCUCCUCUGUUGAUUCAUAGUUCUUUAUCUCCUCUGUUAUCCUCCCUCCCCUUUGGGGCACGGCUGAUUUUUAUCCUCUCUACAGGAUACAAGGUUGGCUGGUCCCAAAACAGUAUUUGAAAGUGGUGAAAGGGAGUUGAUAGGAAAGAGAUGGAGCACAGUGUGGCCACAGGGGCCAUGGACCAGGGGCCAAGUGGGGUCUAGCCUGCUUCUUACUUCCAUCCCCAGAGUCAACAUUUCCUUAAGGCCAGAGUUUUCUCCCAGUCUUGAAGGCUGACCCACUCUCUCCAUACGCCAGAACUGAAGCCACCCUCAGGUCCCAGUUUAAGCUUCACCGGAGUCCUCUGCCUCUGGCUGCACCAGCUCUCUGAGGCACCAGAAAGAGCUUUUCUUUUUCUUUUUCUUCUUGUUUUUUUUUUUUUUUUUUUGAAACAGAGUCUCACUCUGUCAUCCAGGCUGGAGUGCAGUGGCACAAUCACAGCUCACUGCUGCAGCCUCAAACUCUCAGGUUCAAGAGAUCCUCCCACCUCAGCCGACUGAGUAGAUGGGACUACAGGUGCGUGCCACCGCACCCGGCAAAUUUUUGUAUUUUUUAUAGAGAUGGGGUCUUGCUAUGUUGCCCAGGCUGGUCUAGAACUCCUGGGCUCAAGCAGUCCUCUUGCCUUAGUCUUUCAAAGUGCUGGGAUUACAAGCAUAAGCAACUGCACCCAGUCCAGAAAGCUCUUUCUAAAGGGCAAAGCUAAUGGUAUCCUGCCCCUUGCAACAUCCACCAAUGGAUGUUCAAUGGCUCCCCAGUAGAGGCCAGACUCCUUAGCAUGCCUUGGAAGAUCUGUCAUGCUUGUUCCUCUUCUCCAGCCCACACUCUAACCAGGCUGGGAUGCUCAGCUUUUCUCCUCUACUCCACACUGAGCUGUGAUGGUCCUAUGGAAGGCCUAAUCCUCUGGGCUUGGCCAAGAUUAUUCACAGUUCCCUGUGAGCUACCUCUAAAGUCUGCCAAUUUCUUUUCUUCCCAGGCAGCGCCCUUACUCCACAUUGCCUUUCUGAUCUGCUCGGGCAUACUACCUCUGUGGCAUAGCCCUUGUCUCCCUAACGCCAGUCAUAGGUGCUUUGACAGAACCAAAAAGGGCCUAUCAGACGCUUCUAGGAUCUUUUUGGUUUUGUCACAGCACCUAAGUGAGGCCUUACAAUUUUAAUUUCCUUAUCUGUCCCUGAACCCACUCCUAGGAACCAGCACAUGUUGGGCUCAUUCAUAUCAGUUUGGCUAAAUGGAAUGAAGUCCACCCUGGUCACCAGCCCAGGAAGCUUUCUCUUGCCCAAAGCCAGAUGAGAGAAUGAAUGCAGGACCUACAGUUGGUAGAGUUUACCAAGCACUUUUUACAAAUUGGUAUUAAGCUGUUGUUUCCCACAUGUGGCCUCUACCCCUAGCCCUCUACUCUCAAGGGCAGAGACCCAGAUGGGGCUGGUGCAGUCUCUUUCACAGAGUAGGUGCUCCAUACAUAGUUAUUGGAUGAAGCUGAGCUCAGACUUCAGUUUCGUUGUCCUCGCUGUUUUAUUUUUUGUUUUCUGGUGUACAGAGCCAUGCAAAGAAGUCUCAUGGACAACUGGUGCAUGCCCUUUCUCCUUACCCACUCUGCCCUUCAUGAACCUAGAGUCAGAGACUCCAAAGCUGGGGCCAGCAUGUUCUCCCCCAUCUCUGGACUGCCCUCUUGGGACCCACUUCCCACAGCCUCCUCCAUCCCCCUCCACAUCUGAUUCAUGGAUGCUCCUGCUCUGCAGGGCUUUGGUUGUGGCUGCUUCUCCACUGCUCUGCUGCUUGCUCAGCCAGAGCCCUGCCAAGCCUCCUCCUCCACACCUGAUGGCGUACCUGGCUGGGUUCUCAGCCUCACUUGGGAUUGCUUUCUUUCGUUCCAAGUUGGGACCAACUUGUCCUUUGAAAGAACCUCCAUGGUGCCAGGUCUAUCAUCAGUUUGCCUCCCAACUCCUUCUCUGUCCCUUGGUCUGCUCCCUGGGUGAAUUCUCCUAGAGCAACGUUGAUGCCUUCCCUACACCAUCCUUGGCACUAAACCACACUCGGCCUCCUUCAGCCUUGAUUAUGUGGGUGUUUUAUCUCUCUCAAUCAUGUUGUGGAUUCCUCGAGAGCAGGCUUGGGGGCUCAGCACAGCUUUGUAGCCUCCCACAUUCUCCAUCCCACAGACCCCUGCACAUGGUAAGCUUUAAUGCCUUCUUAUUGAUUACUCAGAAGUGGAGGCUCAUUAAGGUGUGUGUGAAAUUUGGAUUCCCUUCUGUUAGGCAAUGGAACGUGGGUUCUCUUUCGUUAGGACAGUGUUUCCCAAAGUGUGUUCUAUGGGCUGUAGGCUAUUAAUAGGUGUUGUAGGACAAAGAGACCCGUGAUUAACUAAAGCACAUUUCUUAGAGCCCUAAUAUGUUAAUGAACGUUGUGAUAUUCCAAGAAGAAAGGUGUGGGAACUCAAGAUCAACAUGGCUUAGGGCAAGCAGAUACAGAACCCUAAGAUAGUGCUCAGGAUGGUGGAGAACAUCUACUUAUCUCAGAUAAAGGUUAGAAGGCAUUGCUUCUCAGCCUUUUGGCUAAGACCAAGUGUAAGAUGGAAGGCAACUGGUUAGACAAAGACUAGGGUAAGAUCAACUAAUAAAUCCAACCUCACACAGAUACACUCUGAAUCACAGGGCUCACACAGCUAAUGCUAAAUGGGGGUCCCAUAGGGUGAGGGGAACAGGAGUCUCUUCUCUCUCAGGUGUCUAUCUCCUCUUAACCCAAGGAGGUAGUGGGCCAUCAUCAAUAUCUUAACCAAUAAACCUUCACUCAAACCACGUACACCUGGGUGCAACAGCCAGAUUCCAGAUACUGAAUUUCUAACUAAGCUGCAGACCUAGGGAUUUUCUAAGUCAGGACUUAUUUGCCAAAUAGGGGCUUUCUGAGAUAGGACUGGCCAUAGCCAGUGGCCAUAGCCAACAAAUUUGGCUAAGGAACUUUUUUUUUUUUAAUACCUCAUAGGAUUGAUAUUUCUAGAACAGUACCUUGGUACAUGUGUCUUGGAGGCACUCACCUGUCUUCACCAUCAGAGAGGUCACCAUUAAUGUUUUGUGAUCCUUCUGGGCAACUGUCCCAUCACGCAAAUCUCCCAGGCUCACAAUGGAUGGUAAGACUAGCAUUGCCAUUGUCCCCAUUGAACAGAUGAGGGAAGGCAGAGAGGUCACUGGAAUGGCAAGUCAGGAGAUAUGCAUUUGAGAUUCUGCUCCAUCAUCUACUAGAUGUGGGAUAUCUGUCUCUGAAAUGAGAAUAUCUAUCUCCCAACGGUACUGAUGGGAUGAAAUGAAGAUGUGUAUUAGAGGACUGCAUAAGACCCAUCACUCCAUGACAUAUUUAUUGGACCCAUGCUAUGUAGCUGUCUAUAAAGAAUAGCUACUGUUUGCUGAGUCUGUAGGGUAUAUAGGGUAUCAUACACAAUUCUUGGCUCUUUCUGUAUGAAAUUUAAUGUAAUCCUUACAAUAACCUCAUGGAGUUGGUUAUUAUAAUCCCCAUUUUAUAGAUGAGGAGACUGUGAUUUGAGGAGAUUUGCCCAAGUUUGUAUCCUUAUACUGAUAACCAGAAAACUUGAACUCAGAGCCAAAUUCAAAGCCCACAUUCCAUGCUCUUUAAUAUUAGGAGUUAAGACGCUAGUGCUAAAAAAAAAAAAAAUUAAAUAAAGCUUACUUCACAUGCAAAAACAAAUGAAAAAGAUACUAGGUAUAGGCUACACUGUAUGUGGUUCUAUAUAAUGAAGAUUAACCAUAUUAAUAUUCAUCUUUAAAAUUAAAAGCAGUAAAAGUUAAAGCUGGUGUUAAAAGAACUAUGUCCAAAGCUUAGUUCCAGGAGUUACUGGUGUAGCAAAUAUCUUUGCUGUCUGUCUCUCAUUUUCUUCCUUUGGAACCCAGGGGGAAAUUGCCACCUAUUUCCCAAGGCUGUUACAAGAAGUAAAUUGACCUAGAAUAUGCUAAGCAGCUACAGCAGUGCCUGGCUGUUGGCAGACACUCAAUGAGUAUAGCUGAAUGAGAUUCUUUGUAGCUUAUAAUCUAACAAUGACACAUAUUAACAUGUUGCAGAUAUACUGAUUUUUAACAACUGAGCAUAAUACAGGUGAAAAUAUUAGUGCUUGUUUUUUUAUCAUUGUGUUUUAACAAUCAGGUGAUAAGACCUGAGGGCAAGGCAGGAUCCCCGCACAAUAACCUAGAUAAGAGCACAGACUCUGAGCCACACAGCCUUGGUCAAAUCCACUUACCAGCUUUAGGCCCUGAGGAAAGUCACUUAGCCUCUCUAUGCCUGUUCCUUCAUCUGUAGAAUGAUGGGGUGGUUGUGAGGAUUAUGAGAGUUAAUGUAUGCAAAGCAUUUAGAACAGUGACUGGUAUACAGUAAGUGCUAUGGAAGCAUCCCCUUCCCCUACCUGCUGUCUUUCUGAUCCCUUCAGAUACUUAUAAAUGCCAAGAAGAGGUUUGGAUAACAUUCCAUGCUUUGGGUUUUGUUUUGGUUUGUUUUUUGUUUGUUUUGUUUUGUUUUUGCUUGUUUUGUUUUUUGUUUUUUGAGACAGAGUUUCACUCUUGUUGCCCAGGCUGGAGUGCAAUGGCGCAAUCUCUGCUCACCGCAACCUCCACCUCCUGGAUUCAAGUGAUUCUCCUGCCUCAGCCUCCUGAGUAGCUGGGAUUACAGGCGUGCACCACCACACCCGGCUAAUUUUGUAUUUUUAGUAGAGGCAGGGUUUCACCAUGUUGGUCAGGCUGGUCUUGAACUCCUGACCUCAGGUGAUCCCCCUGCCUCAGCCUCCCAAAGUGCUGGGUAUACAGGCGUGAGCCACUGUGCCCAGCACUUUGGUAUUUUUGUGUUGCACGUUUUAUCUCCCCUAUGAUAUCUAAGCAACUCGAGGGCAUGAUUCUAUCUGAUUUUGCCUACACAGGGCUCACCUAAAAUAAAUGCUCAAAAACUGUGGAAUCCAUGAAGAAACCAAUGAACAUCCUGGGGGGUCCAGCUCUGAGGGGCACCCAGGGCUGUGUGUUCCCCCACCCCAUGGCUAAGCUCCUUCACUGCUCUGAGCUCCCACAUUUCCUGGCUGCAGAAGUCCCAAGAAGAGUAUGUGUGCUCUGAAGAGGCCAACAGAGGCUGUAGCAGUCCAGCUGCUGCUCCCCACAACCCUUUGGCCAGUCCAUUUACACUUAAGACCACAGAUUUCGCCUGAGAGGCUGACAGACUAAGGGCUCAAAAGCACCUGGGCAUUAUGAUGUAAGGAAAAGCCCCCUCCUUCCUGGCCCCCAUCUGAAAGUCCACCAUCUUUUUCUAGGCACCCUCUGGGGCACACUAAACCAUUAGCUAAGAGACUUUCUGCAGCUCAGGGUAGGAAAAGGUGAUCUGAGCCCUAAGGAACUAGGAUGGGGAGGAGGGAAAGAGGCCAGCUUCUGGGGCCUUGGGAAGAGGAAUUUUUGUCUCUCUUCUCCAGGACCCUGGCAGUUAGGGUCUGGCUCACAGAAUAUCAGAGGGAAAGGAGCCUCAGAAAUUCUCAGUCCCCAAGCCUCCUAGGGAAGUGACCGGCAAUGGCAGACAAUGCUGUUCUCACAUCUGUUCCAGGCUCAUUCCUCACUCCUGUCUUCCCACACUCUCCCUAAACACUUGUGUUGAUGUUCAACAUAUGAGCCAUCCUUCCGGGAGGCCACGUGGCACGGCUGCCCAAGCUUGAGCUUUGGGAACAAUCAGACCUGAUUUCAAAUGUGGACUCUGCCAAUUACUGUCUAUGUGAUGCUGGCCAAGUUCCUCAACCUCCCUGAGCUUUAACUUCCAGUAUUACUAAUGUUACUAUUUCAAUUUGGCUAAUUUCAAAUAUUGCCAAAAUUGAUGUGAGCUAAUUAUGUUAAGUCUCCACAAUGCCUAGCACAUAGUAAGUGUUCAGCAAAUUAUGAUUGGGGCAUACAGUGUCAAGUCUAGACAUACUGUACACUCCCCCUUUUCCUCUGUUUUUAUCUAACUGAAAGCCAGUCAGUCUCAACAUGGCAUCAGGCAGCCCAGGAUGAGGGUGAGAAAGCUGGAGGGCAGGCCAUCCUCUUGUUUGGGCAACCUGAUAGAGGAAGGCCAAAGAGUUACAGGCUGAGUUUUCAACUGCACCUCAUGUCUGGAUGCAUGUGCAAAGGCAUUUGCCAAGCAGGCUGAGCCAUUCUUAUGCCAUGAACCCAUCCCCUCUGAAUUAGCUGUCUCCCCUGGUCCCAUUCCCUACUUGCUUUUCUCCAGCAAAGACUCUGGGGGUCUGAGUAGAAGGGUUGGAUGCUUGAUUGGGGAAAGAUACACAAGAAACAUCAUAAGACUUAUAAUAGUAAUGAUCAAUAACAACAAACUUUUGAGGGCCAACUCUAUGCCUGGCACAUUGUGUGCCCAUGACUUCACUUCAUUAUCAACAACCCUAAAAAAGAGGUGCUUUUAUUAUCCCCAUCUUAUAGAUGAAGAAACUGAGGCUCAGAGAGAUCCAAAAACUUGUGCAAGAUUGCAUGGUUCAUAAGGAGGGAAAUAGGAUUUGAAAUUAGUCUAAUUCCAGGGCUUACCUACCAUAAGCCCAAUACCUUAGUAGGUGCCUUACAUCAUUUCUAAUCCUCACAACAAUGUUAUGAGUUGGGUAGUCCCUUUUUACCAUUAAGAAAACAAAGUUGGAGAGGAUACAUAACCUGCCCCUGGUCAUGCAGUUAAGUGACUUGUGGAAAGUCAUGCAGCUGGUAGCUGUGGAGCCAGGGUCUGAAUCCAAAGUUUGUGUGUUUCUUCCAUUCCACUCUACUCCAGUGCCUCCAGUCCAGCAGAGCUUGGAAGGGGGGCUCAGAAGGGAAGGAAAAACAAUCCUUAUAAGAACCUUGUACAUGGUCGGCACUUUCCCAUAAGGUGUCUCAUUUAAUCCUCACAACUACUCCAUCAACAGGGUAUACUUAGCCCCAAGAAGAAAACCCAGGCUCAGAGAGUAAAGUGACUUGCCCAAGAUCACACAGUUAGUAAGCAGGAAACUCAGGAUUCAUACUGACUACUGGUUUCCAAGGACUUGUUAUUUCUACUGGGGUGCACCUUCUACAACACCCCAUCUGCUGGUUUUGCAGUUUUGCUUUGCUCCCAGUCCAAGAUCCAUUUUCUGCCUGCUCCAUGCUCCAGGAGACAAAUCUCUGUGCAUAGUAUCACAGGGCUCUCCUGUCUUCUGUCUUCCAGUUUGGGUUAGAUUAACAGGAAGCUUUGGCAGGAGAUCAAAGGCAGGAGACAGGUCAGGAUGUUUCUUCUGCUCCCUCCUUCCCUGCCUUGCUUUAAUUCUACGACUACAACUCCUUCUGGGCAGCCCCCUUGCAUGGCUCCAACACUUUCUGGGUCCUGAGGACUCCAUUCUUCCAUGCAUCUCCUCAGGUUGAGAGUAGGAAGAGCUUCCUGUUGUUGCUGGUCCCUACCUGUCUCAGCAUUCCUUGUUGAUUCCCUUAACCUUGCCGUACUUCUGCAAAUGGUUCCCUCAUGCAAUUACCUUCAUAAUCCCAGUUGAGGAUCCUUCUGUUUCCUGCUGGGACCUGACCAAGCCUCCUAAUGUUCAUCUGAGGCCGCUCCUUUUGGAGCUACUUGGAAGGAAGGCCAAUGGCUUCUUUGCUGAUCAAACAGGUUCAGGUCUUUCCCAAACUAAUUAGCAGAUAGACAGGACAGUGGCCAGGGACUGGAGGCUGGCUCUUGAUGCUGUCCCUGCCUCCGUCCAUCUGGAAUUACAGUUUGGAGCAGCUCAGCCUCUCCAAGUCCAAUGCCCUAUCUUUUUUUUUUGUUUUUUUCCAAUUGAUGCAACUCAGUAAUUUUUAUUGCAACUGGAAGACAAUGCAUCACAGAAACUUUAUGGUGGGUCUGUGGAAGAGUGUUAUUUACAAGAAAUGAUGAAAUAGUUUGUCUUUGGCAAUAUGAUUACAUACAAAGAAUGCAAAAUGCAGGUAUGGAUGCCUUCCAAGCAACACCAUCAAGUCCCUAGAGUUCGGCUGAUGGCACCUGCCUCCACGUUUUUUCUUUAGGUUCACACGAUCAUAACUGAACAUCACGUUCUUUCUCCUUUAUGGUUCUCCCUUUCUAUUCAUGAUAUUGGCAGUUUCACAAAGAAAAUACAGAAAAAAAAUUGGCUUUUGAAAAAUUAUUACUCUCAUAAAUUAAUUUGGCCGUGUAGGUCUAUUGGCCAGCCAAGGUCAGACGACCCUAAGCAUCAACAGUAAACCUCUUGGUCUUCUGAUUGCUUUAUCACUUUUUUUUUCUGUAAAACAAAACAAAACUGGGAAAUGUUACAGAAUCAGAGUAUUAAAAAAUAUACAAGUGUAUAUGCUUCCCAGACACACAUGGAUACAUUUUUCCUCCACAUUUUCACCAUGGCAGUAUAAAGUAGUGAGUGUGAAUGACACAGCAUGAAACUGGUUACUGAAUCAGCUAUGAGCUCAGAUGGCCUCAACAUACAUACUUAAGAAAUGUUGCAUGUUUAAAUAACUGAGAGUGUGCUAAAUCUCAUCCAAAAAAAAGGAGGAGAGGGGCUGGGGAACUCAGGCCACAGUCAUGAAAGGAUGAAUACAAUUUCUAGGUUUAACAGGUUCACCAUAUUGAAGUCUUUGAUAAUCCAAUAUGGAAUAUCAAUUAUUUUGCAAAAGGUAGAGAAAGCAGUUCUCAACUUUUGCAAAUGAAAUACAAUGGAAAAACACUGUUGUAUAUAUUCCAAAUAAAUAGUCUUGAUUUCAUCACUAACAAAACAACAGGAAGGGUACUCGUGAGCAUCUCACAGUUAAGUCAGAAAUGAUCAUUCACACAGGUCUGAUUUCAGAAGUACAACAGCAAGAUGCAGCACCAUAGACACAUCGGUUUCGGCUGUUAAAAGAUGGAUCAUUUUAAAAACUGCGUUUUCCUUACUUAAUUUUUGGUCAGUGAAGCUAGCAGUUGUUUGCUGAACUGUGGAAGAACUGCAAGGUCACACACAUUAUUCAUGAUAAAGCAACUGAGCUGACAUGUCUGUGCUUAAUUCAGAAUAACCAUUAGUGGGAGGCUGAGGCAGGAGAAUGGCGUUAACCCGGGAGGCAGAGCUUUCAGUGAGCUGAGAUUGCGCCACUGCACUCCAGCCUGGGCGACAGAGAGAGAGAAAAAAAAAAAUAGAAUAACCAGUAGGAGAGAGAGAAAAUACAAGGAGUUAACGACCAUCGCCGGUGCUCUCUCAAAGGAAGAGGGGUUAACAGAUGAAUUUACAAAGGUAUGCAGAUCUAUACAGAACACUGAAUGCCAUGUGUAAAUCCUCAUGAAACUCCAGAAACGGGAACACCACACAAUGUAUAUACUUUGAUUUACACAUUCCGUUACAAAGGAAAAAAAGACACCAUUACAACUUUGUAACUGUGUUAACUGCAAUAUAAACCAAGUCCAGAGUUUGGCAGGUAACUAAAAGAGGGUUAUCACCUAGGUUAUAUGGCGAAAGUGUUGAUGUAUAUUACAUAUAGUAGCAUAAUUAAUAAAAAAGUAUUAUUUAAAUUAGAUCACAGUGCUGCAUUAUGUGCAUAACAGUGUUUGAUAUAGUAUUGGUGGGCUGGGACCUGCAACACUAAGGACUUAACUGUCAACACUGGGAAGUCAUAAUCAAGAGGAAACACAGAGUUCCAUGUUUUCUUUUGGUGGCAAAAAAAAUCCUGAAGAUUAAAGAAAAGUACUUCUCUACAGAAACAUAAAAAUCAGUUGCAACAUCUGGGCAGCUGUGAUCCACCAGAAAGAAACGAGUCCCAACCUGAAUUAAAGGGAAAGAGAAAUCACAUGGAAUUUAAUCCAAUCUCAUCUAGAAAAGCUUCCCAUUGGUCGGGCGCGGUGGCUCACGCCUUUAAUCCCAGCACUUUCGGAGGCCGAGGCGGGCGGAUCACGAGGUCAGGAAAUCGAGACCAUCCUGGCUAACAAGGUGAAACCCUGUCUCUACUAAAAAUACAAAAAAUUAGCUGGGCGUGGUGGCGGGCGCCUGUAGUCCCAGCUACUCAGGAGGCUGAGGCAGGAGAAUGGCGUGAACUCGGGGAGCGGAGCUUGCAGUGAGCCGAGAUCACACCACUGCACUCCAGCCUGGGAGACAGAGCGAGACUCUGUAUAAAAAAAAAAAAAAAGAAAAGAAAAAAAAAGAAAAGCUUCCCAUAAAUUGGAGUCACUUGUACGUAACUCCAAUUCCUUCUCCAGGAGCCCUUCUAGGAGAGGUGCAAGGCCCCCCACACAGUGGAAUGAGUGGAACCUGCGUCAGUAGCCCUUGGCCGGGGCAGUCCUGGCGUGGUGCAGGACUCGGAGCUGGGCACAGAAGGCGUCCACCUGGUUCUCACUCUACAGAGCCCACUACCUGAUGCUGUCCCUCAGGCAGGAGCCUCCUUCAACACAACGGCCCCUCCCAGAAGUCUCUGUGGUAGUAACUGCUGUGGCCAGCGAGCACCAGACACAUUGAAUGCCUCUGCAAAACAAAACAAAACUCCAUUCUUGGGAAAGGCCUCUGGCACAUUCCUUCUUAAAAACUCCCAAGAUUGAGACCUGCCACAAUCGUUUUGGCCAUGGUUUUCUCCAACCACCAGUGAUAUGGGUUUGGUUCAUUUUAGUUUCAGAUAGCUGGCUUCACCAAAGAACUCUUGAAAGAAUACUGAUUAGAGAGGAGCAGGGAAGUAGGAGCUUGUGGUAUAUUAUAAAGCUGGGAAAAAUCUAUGAUGCAAACCCUUUCCACAUAGCACUAGAUAAAGGUAAAAGACAAUUAUAAUAGAAUAAAAAUAACUGUCUAUGUGUAUAUCAUUUAAGAAAAAAAGAGUGACUGUCUCUUUCUCUUAAAUGUGUCCGAGGGCCAACAGCAAGUAAUCGUAGAUGUCGUGGUGUUGAUGUGUUCACGGUUGGUUUCCAAAGCAUCUUUAAAUAUUGCUACAGUUCCCCGUUUCCCCCUCCCCCCUGCCUCGUGUGAGUAUGUGAGAUACUGAAUGACACAUGAACUGCCACUUCUCCCAGCAGGAGAAAUGAAAGCAAAAACACCACACCUCUUAGUGGUGUUCAGGUGAUCUGUCAGACUAAUGGAUACAUAUGCUAGUUUGGAAGCUGAAAGAACACCUGACGUUUGGGAAGGAAUUCCAAGACUCAGGUGAAUGGCACUUAAGCAAAAUAUUCUUUCACAAAUAGGCUUGUGCUUAAAUUAUCUACUGCUCUUGGAGAAGAGAAUAAGAAUAAGAGAGGGUGCCUCCUGCCCCUUAGCUUGUUAAGGACGCGGACAACCUCAUUCUGCAAUGAAUUCACUACAAACAGCCACAUACACAUCGAUACUUUUUGUUUUUGUUUUCAACAAUCAAAAUACAAAGUUAAACACAAUUGAGCCAUUGUUUUGGUUAUGCAUAAUGUGCAUGCCUCCAAAAACAGAAGAAAAAUAGGAAGAAGUACCCUCACUAAAGGUUCCCUGACAAGUCUUCCGGCAGAUCCAAUGAAGGGAGACUCAGGAAAAUCACAAUUAGAAAGCCACCCAAUGAGGUAUUUAUGCAAAAAGAGUGGUUCUGGAGUUAAGAACACACUUUUAUAUUUCUCUGUUUCUCAAAGAGAUCAGAAAAGUAAAUCACAUAAAUUGCAUUUUAUUAUUUUUUAAAAGAGCCUCUGCCUCUUUAGAAAAAUGAAAUGAGGGGAGACAGCCCACAGUGGGGAUUUAAAUUGGAAGAAGUCCUCGGCCAGAAACAGUCCCGAAUGUUUAACCUCUGCCUUUCAGGAGAGAGGUCUGAAUUUUAUCAUGUGGGGGGUGGGAUGAAGGUGGGGGACUGAGCUGGAGGUCUUUAGGCUUGGUCAGGUGACAACACAAAUCAAGGUGUCGCUCAGGCUCCACAGCUGUGGAUGGCUUUCAGGGUGUCAGAUGUCUGGGAAGAUGGAGGGAACAUAGCACUGCAAAGAUACUUUAUUCCCAUCUACACCCUGAACAAAUAUGCUGGAAGUAUUCAGUUUCAGGUCAUGAAUUCGACCUGCUGUAGAGGAGUAGGUUUUUUCAGGUUCUGUCAUCAGCAACCCACCAAUGCCCCAUCUUUAAUAGGUGAGGUUCCAAUAAAGGUUCUGUCUGCUCCCUUCCAGCCCUGACAGCCCAGGCCUAUAAGCUGACACCCAGAGAAGGUAAAGAACUUGCUGUCCCUGCACAGUGAGGCAAUGGUGUGAGUACUUGAACUUCUGCAUCUUAAAUCAGUUACUGCUUCUCUGCUUUACCCUGGAGUGUUUCCUUUACAGCUCAAUAAAUAUUUCAUCAGUGGUGACUCAGUAUAAUCACCAUCCCCCAUGCCAUCCCAGGCAGCUUACAACCUAGAGACUGUCACUGCUCUUUGACAUAUUCUGUCACUUUGCCUCCCCAGGUCACCAUCCUCUCACUCGCCUCUGACUUUUCGCACAGGAGAGAGCUGGUCGAAUAGUACAAUUCCCCGAUGUGAAUGGGGAGAAGCUGGGGAAAGGAAGAAUGAUCUUCAGGCAGUAAGGGUAAGAGGAGCCACUUUUCCCAUCUGAGUAAAUACCGAGAGAAGAUGAAUGUGAGGCUCUUGGAGAUUAGCUGUCUGCUGGGAGAGAAACACCUUCAUUGAUUAAAUACAAAAUCUGUUCUGGAAAACAUGGUCGUUGGAAUAGUUCUUAGCAGAUCCUUGCACCGGGCUUGUAAAAGCUAAACAGCCUUCUGCUCCCAACCUAUCCCUCCCACUUGGGGGAUUUGGAGAAAGGGCUAGGGAGAGAGAGAGGAAGAAGUGGUGCCCAGGAUGCCACAGGGAGAGGAGAAUGAGCUAAAGGUAGAGAGUGUGAGGAUAUGGUCAGAGGGUUAUGCCCCUGACAGUCUUGGGCUGGCAAAUGCAAGGACCUUUGGGGGACAGUGCAGGGGCUGACGAGGCAGGCUUGAGGAUGCUCUGGUCACGUGGAUACUAGGGCCAGAGUCCUCUUGGCUCAGGCACUGUGUAAGGAAAGAAAUGUAACUUCCUUAUUGCCUGUCCACUCUCCCUCAAAACAAACACUCUUUUCUGUUUAAAUAGUAGGAGACCACCCUCUCCGCAGGAGAUAGCUAAAAAAGAAAAAAUAAAUAUAUAAUAGGAGACAAUAUCUUGAGAAGGUGGAAAUGAGACCCUCCCCCGCCCCAGGGGAAAGUGAUAGGAAAGCUCAGCUAGAAAGCUCCCGAGAGAAAGUGAUAGAAAACAGCCUGGACCAGGGCCAGAGAGGAGCAGGAGGAGAGAAGAUCCAUCAGUGUUCGUGUCCUAGUGGGAAAGGAGGAAUGUACUGACAGCUGGGAUGUGAUGGCAGACUGGUCUAAGGGUAGGGCCUGCGGGGAGAAGCUGCUAGCAGAGGGCAUAUGGGGUGAAGGGAAUAGGGGGAGCAGAGCUUCAGGUAAAGGAGGAAGAGGUACUGUUUCUCCAUUUCCCUCUGGGCUUUUGCUAUUUAAUUGAGUAAUUCCUGGCCCCAGGGCAACUCUGAGAAUUUCUCUGGCUUGCAGUAGAGUUGUCACUUUAUUACCUUCAGAUUCUGUUUGGAGUUUUUCCUUCUGAAUUUCCUCAAAUGGCCCAGCUUUGCCUUGCCAUUUUGGUGGGUUUUAUUUUCUCUGCCAUCUAAUGUCCCAGGGGUCUCCAGACAAGCACACCUUUCUGAAAGCCUCUGGGGGGUGCCUUUCUCUGAAAGCCUGGGCCAGGCCUGGGAAGACUCACCCACAGGCUGAGAUUUGAGACCUUGUCCCCCACCCCUAUGACCUUCCUAAAACACAAAACUCCCAGGCAGUGUCUGAAAUGCCUCGACAUGAAGGGAGCUAAUAGUAAUUUCUCAGAAGAACAUAGGCUCUUCUUUAGUCCUUGGAUUUAAAGCGCAGAUUCCAAGGAGGAUAAAUUGUCUUGCCAGGCUGGGUAAAUCUGUUGUCAGGCAGCUUUUCUCCACUAAAAAAGAGAUUAAUCUGAUUACACCUAUAGUCACCUGGAACUGUUCCAUCUCUGAAAUCUUUUUUUUUUUUUUUUUACAACUUCUUGUCCAACAGACACCUCUAAAAUCUUAAUUUUAAAUAUACCACCCUCAGGAUAUAAAUCUGUUCAUUCAGCUUUUCCCCAAACCUGUCAUUCUUCCUCAAGACCUUCAGCCCUAGACCUCUCUGAGUCUACCAGUUCCUCCUGAUGUCCCUUCCUUUCCUGCCUGGGUCCCUACUCAAUGGUUGACCAUUUGACCUAACCUUCACCAGCCCCUUGUAUUCUGACUCUGUGUUAGUUUUCUGGGGCUGCCAUAACAAAGUACCACAAGUUCAAGGGCUUAAAACAAUGGGAAAUGUAUUCUCUCAUAGUUCCAGAAGCCAAAAGUCCAAAAUGAAGGUGUUGGUGGGGCCAUGCUCUCUGUGACGGCACUGGGGGAGAACUCUUCCUUACCUGUUCCCGCUGCUGGUGGCUCCUGGCCUUCCUUGGCUUGUGGCAGCACAGCUCCAAUCUCUGCUUCCUUCUUCACAUGGCCUUCCUCCCUGUGUGUCUGUGUCCUUUCCUGUCUCUUAUAAUGACACCUAUCAUUGGAUUUAGGACCCACCCUAAUUCAGUAUGAUCUCAUUUCACAUCUGCAAAGACCCUGUUUCCAAAUGAGGUCACAUUUCAAGGUUCUGGGUAGACAUGAAUUUUGGGGAGACACUAUUCAACCCGCUGUAGCCCCAUUUUUCCUUCUAUUGCGUUCCAAAUUCCCCAAGCUUAGCUCAGGCCCACAGUUGGGCAUCUAUCUUCCUUUUGGCCUUGGGGCAGCUGAGCUCUGUUCUUGGCUCCUCCUGCUCUUUGCUGGUUUCAGUGCUUCUCAGCAAGAGUGCCUCCUACAGCCUCUUCUUUCUUUUCCCUCGGGAAGUAGCACCCCAGAGAUGGCUGAGGUCUGGGGCAGGAACUCCUCCAAAUUCAAACCUUAAGGCCAGGCACAGUGGCUCAUACCUAUAAUCCCAGCAAUUUGGGAGGCCAAGGCAGGAGGAUCCCUUGAGCCCAGGAGUUUGAGACCAGCCUGAGUGACAUGGUGAAACCCCAUCUCUACAAAGAAUACAAAAAUUAGCUGGGCAUGGUGGCUAAUUUUUGUAUUCUUGGCGCACCUGUGGUCCCAGCUAGUCAGGAGGCUGAGGUGUGAGGAUUGCUUGAGCCAGGAGGCAGAGGUUGCAGUGAGCCAAGAUCGUGUCACUGCACCCCAGCCUGGGCAACAGAGUGAGACCCUGUCUCAAAAAAAAAAAAAAAAAUCCCAUCUUAAGACCCCUACAGAUGUACCAUUAGUUUCACCUUUUCCCCCCUUUCCCAUCCCAUUGAAGGCCAUGUGUUUCUGCUCUUCUUGGAGGCUAUUCAGGCCCUCACAGCACUUGCCUGGUAUACAGCAAAUUAUCCUGACUGUGUUUAUCUGCUUCCAUAUGCACCCUACUCUUAUGACUCUCAUACCACUCUUCUGCUUAAAACCAUUCAUUCAUUCACUCUUUCAUUCAUUCAUGUGUUUGUUGCAUAUAUAUUGAGUGUCUGCUAUGUUAGUACUCUGGCCUCAUCUCCCACAACCAAUGAGAUCAUUGACUUUUCAGAACUUACAGCAUAGAAAGUUUUCCAUGGCGGUCCUAUAGGAUUUCCAUUCUAAAGUUUACAUUCUUUAGGGUGGUGGAUAACCCCCUUAACCUGGCCCUAACCUACCUCUGACUUCUGUCUCCCAUUGCUCCCAUCUCUAGCCCAGCCAAACUAUUACUCAAGCCAGGCUCUUACACUUCUGUGCUGUGGUGCUUUCAGUCUAGUUGAAAUGUCUCUGCCUUUUGCCUGCCUGGAAAAUCCCUAGUUGUCUUCAAUAUUUAGUUCCAAUGUUACCACCUCCUAGGAGCCUUCCUUGACAAUCCUGUCCUGGACUCUGUCUUUUUUGCCACAUAAAUCUCUUAUUGUGUGAAUCAUGCUGCCUUGCAAUGAUUUGUUUACAUGUCUGUCUCUCUUUUCCCUUGAAGUUAAGGACAAUAAUUUAUUCAUUUUAUAUUCUCUAUAUCUGGCAUAAUGUAGAUGUUUAAUAAAGUUUAAGUGCUUAAUAAAAGAAGUGGUGGAAGACCUCAAUUCAUCUGAGAGCAGAAUCUGCCUAGAAGAGUUGGAACUUCUCCACCCUGCUCCAUCCUCUGUACCUGACCUGUGUGUUCUGGGCUCCCCACGGCCAAGGAGCAUCAAUGGGCUAACAGAGUGUAAUGGGCUGAAUUGUGUUGGCCCCAAACUCAAAUUUUGAAGUCCCACCCCUCCCUCAUUCUAUGGCCUUGUUUGGAAAUGGGGUUGUUGCGAUGUAAUUAGUUGAGAUAAGGUCUUAUUAUAUUUGGGUAGGCCCCUACUCCAGUAUGAUUGGUGUCCUUAUAAAAAGGAGAAAUUGGACACAGACACCCUACCAAGAAGAACACUAUGUGAAGAUGAAGGCAGAGAUCAGGGUGAUGCCUCUACUUGCUGAGAAACUCCUACAGUUGCCAGCCCACCACUAGAAGCAAAGGAAGAAGCACAGCCCUCAGAAGGAACCAACCCUGCUAAUGCCUUGGUCUUGGACUUGCAGCCUCCAGAACAGCGAGCCAAUACAUUCCUGUGGUUUAAGCCACUGACUGUGGCACUUUAUUACAGCAGCACUAGGAAACUCAUACAGGAGGUGACAGUGCUCAGAUGAAACAGGACCUUCCACUUCCAUGGCAAAGCCCUCAUCUUUCGUGCCCAUGCGCCAUUUGAUCUGCACACAAAUCACUGAGCAGGUUCCUCAGCUAUUAUUAUCCCCACCCUGCCUCCAGCUGAGGAGCCAGGGAGAAGCACUGACCCCUGAUCUUGCUAUCCCUUCCAUUACACUCUUGCCAGAGGAGCUUUUUUCAGGGGUGGCCGCUUCCCUCUCCUCAAGAGAAUUCUGGGGACCAACCAGCUCAGGCCUGCUGUUGGCCUCAGGGUCACAUCUCACCCAGACACCCCCACCAUUCCCUCAGGUCUAGGGAUGCUGCUCCCCUACCAUGGGAUCUUCUUUUUAUUUUUAUUUAUUUAUAUUUUCCUUAUGCCUAGUGUAAAGGGAUUUCUUUUCUUUUUUGUUUUUGUUUUUUUUUUGAGAUGGAGUCUUGCUCUGUCACCCAGGCUGGAGUGCAGUGCAGUGGCGCUAUCUCGGCUCACUGCAACCUCCACCUCCUGGGUUCAAGUGAUUCUCCUGCCUCAGCCUCCCAGGAGCUGGGAUUACAGGUGUGCCACCACAUUUGGCUAAUUUUUUUACUUUUAGUAGAGAUGGGGUUUCACCAUGUUGGCCAGGCUAGUCUCGAUCUCCUGACCUCAGGUGAUCCACCCGCCUCAGCCUCCCAGAAUGCUGGGAUUACAGGCAUGAGCCACCGCUCCCAGCCAGGAUCUUCUUUUUAAAGCUAUCACCACCCACUCUCAUUCCCCAGGACUCUCCUCACCCCUCCGGCUGCAAAGGCAGCUGGUGUCCCUACUGGCUCCUUCCUUUCUGCCCCUAAAGACAGGCACACAGGUGAUUUUCCUUUUAAGUGUUUUUCUGUGGAUUACUGCGGGGAAAUUGACAGGGGCUACAGGGGCUGAUAAAAGGAAUAAUCUUUGAUAUUCUUUCAGUUGGGUCGCUGAUUUUCUUGCUGGGCUGACAAGAGCAAUCUUCCCUACUUGGAAUCUUGGUUUUAUUCCUUAGCAUGGGCCUUAUCAAACCUACUUUUUAAUGAAGGGAGAAUGAAGAAGCCAUUGAAGCAGACCUCUAGCUGCCAGUCAGGUCUGCUCUGAAGGCUGCCUAUCUGCGGGGACAUGUGACUUCUGGGGCUUUCCAGAUUAAGUAAUGCUCACCCCACAUGUCUGAAAUUCUCCAAACACUAUUCCGGCCCUGCUGUGAUUCUUAGAGCAGAGGUUCUUUGCCUUUUUAGUGUAAUGGAUCCCUCAGCAACUUGGUGAGCCCUUCUCAGAAUAAAGUUUCUAAUGCAGAAAGUAAAACACAUGGGAUAAUAAGGGAAGUCAUGUCCUUUGAAAUCCUUAUCAAAAAUAUUUUUCAAAUUUUGUGAUAUAAUAAGUUUGGUUGCUAUUAUAUAGCAUAAUAUAACUUCAUAUCUAAUAGCUAUUGUUAUUUUGAAGUAGUGGUGAAUAUAUAUGCUAUUUUGAGAUGUCUAAAACAACUGUAAUGUGUUACAAAAAUAUCCAUGAUUUCUAUCGGUGACAAAGUCAAAAGUAUCGUGAAUACGUCUGUGAUUUGCAAGCUACAUCCAAAAUGGAAGGAAAUCCUAAUGUUUGGUUAGUGAUUGAUAAAAAUAAAGAUGUGGGCGGGCGCGGUGGCUCACGCCUGUAAUCCCAGCACUUUGGGAAGCCAAGGCGGGCAGAUCAUGAAGUCAGGAGAUCAAGAUCAUCCUGGCCAGCAUGGUGAAACGCCGUCUCUACUAAAAAUAAAAAAAUUAGCUGGGCAUGGUGGCGUGUGUCUGUAGUCCCAGCUACUUGGGAGGCUGAGACAGGAGAAUCACUUGAACCCAGGAGGCGGAGGUUGCUGUGAGCCGAGAUCACACCGCUGCACUCCUUGGUUUCCUUGGGAUAAAAUGGGGAUAUUAAUGAUGAUUUCACAGGGAUACAAAGAUCAAGGGAAAUAGUCAAGUGUUAUAUCUUGUUCAUGUAUCAAAAUGGGCUGUGACCUCCUUACAGUGACUAUCAUCAGUCAGAAGCCUCAAGGGAUGCUUUCCCAGACAGAAAUAGUCUUGUGAAUAUGCUUAAUUUGUUUAUUCACAAAACAUUUAUCAAGCACCUACUGUGUGACAAGCAUGGUACUUGCAGUGAGAGAAUAAAUUUGCAGAGCGAGACUCCGUCUCAAAAAUAAAAAUAAAAAUAAAAAAAUAAAGACGUAAUACUAUUUUUCCCCCAUUGAGCUCAUGGGCCCAGAUUAAGAGCUCCUGCCCUGGAUCUGUGCAUCUCAAACUUCCAUGUGCUUCUGAAUCAUCUGGCCUCUGUUAACAUGCAGAUUCUGAUUCAGGAGGUCUGGAGUAGGCUCAAGGCUCUGCAUUCUUGACAAACUCUAGGGAUGAGUUUGUCAAGCUGGCUCCUGAGAUGGGCACAGUCUGGAACGUAUGGUACUGGGUAAUAGUCACCACCUGGAACCAUGAUGGGAAUCUGAGAGCAAGGGCAUCAGCUGCUGGGGCCCGAGGGUGGGUUGGGGCCUUAAAGUGAUUCCGUGAACUUCACAAGCUUCGUGGCAGUCUUGUGGUGACAAGGCCAUUCCAGCAUAUCUCCUGAUGAGGAUGCAGAGGACACUCUAACCUGGAAUACAUUCUCUCCACAAAGCUGAAGGGAGCCUGCAAUCUUUUUAAUGCUCCAAUUAGAGCCUGAACACAAGACCUUUCCUUUUGUCUGGUGAAAUCAGGCUGGGCCAGUUACAUGAGACUUGACUAAAGGCUUAGGAAUAACAGAGAAAAAAUAAAUGCAGGCAAUAGAAUAUGACCAUAGAACAUGACUUCAAGACACCCUGCCCACUCAGCAAUAGGCUUUAAAGACAAUCUUUUGUCCCUUAGACAGAAGGGCUGGACCUUUAGACGUGAAGCCCAAUGAGAGAGGCAGCAGUCAUUGUCAGAACAUCCCUGAGGGGAGUAUGAAUCCCUGGGUUGGACGCAGUGAGGCCCAGGUCCCCUUAUAUGCUGGUUUUGGAGGUCUGGGAUCUUAUUAAGAGAGAUGGCAGGUCUCCCUGGCCCACUGCCCCUUUCCCACUUCCUGAUUGCUGCUUACCUCAAAGUGGUGGAUGCUGCCUUUGCACUUAACUUUCCAGGAGGCCACACCUACGUGGGGCAUUCCCUCUGCUUCCUGAAUUCUAGUCUGAGAAUCCUCUUUGUCUCCAUUAUGGGCUCUUUCAUCACUAUUCACCCUAUUGAAGGAGAUACUCCUUUUACUCACCCAAACAUUGUAGCCUUAAACUCACAGUCAUGUUUGAAUACAACACAUUACAUUUAAUAACCAUGCAAGAAAAUCACACACACAGUGCAAGAGGGUCUAAUCUGUACCAAUCUUGAUUUUGCACUUGUAAUCUAUCCCUCUCUGGAGUUUAGUUGAGAGCAUGAUCUUUGCAGCCACUCAGAUCGGGGUUCUAAUUAUACCAUAUACAAGCUGUCUGACCUUAAAGAAUUUGAUUAGCUCAGUGUGCUAAUCUGCAAAAUGGGAGUAGUAAAAGUGUCUACCUCAUUUGACUAUUGUGUGACUUCAAUAAAAUGAUACCUGCAAUCAGUUUCCUCUCUGGCACACAAUAAGUUCCCAAUAUUAGUUGUCAAUGUACUACCCUCACCUCUCACGGUAAAGUAAUUAUUUCAGCAUUUAAGAAAAUUUAUUCUCUCACUGCAAGUACCAUGCUUGUCACACAGUAGGUGCUUGAUAAAUGUUUUGUGAAUAAACAAAUUAAGCAUAUUCACAAGACUAUUUCUGUCUGGGAAAGCAUCCCUUGAGGCUUCUGACUGAUGACAGUCACUGUAAGGAGGUCACAGCCCAUUUUGAUACAUGAUCAAGAUAUAACACUUGACUAUUUCCCUUGAUCUUUGUAUCCCUGUGAAAUCAUCAUUAAUAUCCCCAUUUUAUCCCAAGGAAACCAAGGCUCAUGGAGGCUUAGUGUUGUGCCCAAAGUAACACAGUUAGCAAGUGGUUCCAUUUAGUGAUGCCUCAGCAGAAGCCCAAUGUGCCCUGAAAUAGCAUAUGAAGUCUGUCUGAGAUCCGGGGGCAUGACUUAUGAUUCAUAAAAUAACUGUGUAGCUAGGGAGCUACAGAAAGAGAUUAACAGAACCUGGGACUUCAGUCAUUUUCAAGAAAGUACAACAGCUAAGCAUUAACAAUUCAUAGAAAAGACCCACUCUAAAUGAUGCUUUGUAAAUGCAUAAUGAAGAGACUGGGAAGUACCCAAGUCCAAAAAAAGUCGUCAGGACUAAACGUAGCUAAAGAGAGCUGGGGCCCAGUCAGUAGUCCCCAGUCUGACUGAAGGAAGCCUAGGGCAACUGAAGAUCUGGGUCUGCUAGGCGUCCAGAAAAGGGGCAGUCAAAUAAUACAACCAGUCAGUGUGUCUCCACUUCCACUGAGAGAGACAAGUGGCUCUGGACCAGACAUCGUUAAUCACAAUUUCCUAUCCCCUGACCUAAUGUCUCUUUGUUCUGAACUCAGUAAGCAAUCUUCUGAUUAUUAGUUUUCUGGGUAAGCUUGGUACCAAAAAGGGAAUACUUGGUAGGAAUACUCACCAUUUUACAUUUACCGUGGGCUCCUUAGUGCUAUGGUUUGAGUUUGACCCCACCAAAAUGCAUGUUGAAACUGAUCCCCAAUGUGGCGGUGUUGGGAAGUGGGGCCCGGUGACAGGUGGGGACAGAUCUCUCAUAAAUGGUUGGUGGUAGUCAGCGCUUGCUCUCUGUGAGACUGAACUAGUUCUCACAGGAAUGCUCCCUUGAGAGUGGGCUUUAAUAGAACCAGGACACUCCUUGAAAUUUACCUCUUUGCACAUGUCCACUUCCCCUUUGAUCUUCCACCAUGUCUUAAUGCAGCAAGAAAGCCCACACAGAAGCCAAGCAGAUGCCAGCACCAUGCUUCUUGAACCUCCCAGCCUGCAGAACCAUGAGCUAAAUAUACCUCUUUUCUUUAUAAAUUACUCAGCCUUGGGUAUUCUGCUAUAGCAACACAAAAUGAACCAAGACACUCAGUCUCUUAGAAGUUUAGUGACUGUGAGUCAAUCUCUCUUAAGUCAUGUCUCCCAGUUUUUUACUGGACUCAGGUUCAUCAGUCUCUUAGGGAUUUAGUGACUGUAAGUCAAUGGUUCUUGAACCUGAACAACUACGAGCAUGCUUAUAAAUCCAAUGUCUGGAACUGCAAAGCCAAGCAAGGGCCAUCCCCUGGUCCACAGCAACCCUUCGAAGAAGGUGCUUCUACCCUGGGAGACACCUCCCCACUUACCCACAGAUGCCUGUAAUGAGAUCCCUCCAUCCUCCAGCCUCUGGCCACAUGCCUGC
rnacentral:lncRNA from 1 species